rfam:Phytophthora infestans T30-4 supercont1.101 genomic scaffold, whole genome shotgun sequence.
UCCAAUAUAGAUAAAGUAGGCGGUUCGGAUAGCUGGCUCUCGCCCAGCAGACCCGGGUUCGAGUCCCGGUGUGGGAA